ACCUUUUUAUUAAAGUUUUAUUUUUGCCUUGUAAAAAAACAUGGCUGCAAUUAUAGUGAAAUGUAAAUAUGUUCCUUGAGUGAAACUGUGAAACCAGUGGAACUACAGGAAACUACAAAUCAAUUUAUCAAGGAUUUUAUUUCUAUUUAUUUAUUUUCUGUAUAUUAUUGUAUAGUAUUGUUAAUAAAGAGUUAUAGUUUGAUUUGUGCUCGGUUAAUUUCAGUGUUCGAUAGUAAAAGUGCAAAAGUGUUUUUGUUUUUCGUUCAAAAUGAAGCGCUGUUGCGUGCCUAAGUGUAAAACAGCUAUUAAUUUACGUGCUGUACCAUAUACUGAUGUUACUAGAUGGAAGAAGAAGGACUUGAUCAUUGGAAAUCAGCAUGCUCAAUGGGCUUUCAUUGAACGGGCUUAUGCUACUGAUGGUGCAGGAGGACGUGCCAGAACCAUAGAUUUAAACGAUAAACAUAUAAACCCAAGUUCCUACAAUAAGAUGAAGGUCAAUUAUUAUGCUUCGGACGUCUUCAGUUACAGAGGUACACUGUACACUGCCUUUUACUUGGGAAAAUGAAGUCAUACGAAGAUCUUAGUUAUAGUGUUCCACAAUUAUGUUAACAUAACUCUCUUACAUACUUAUAACAUAAGCCUCUCUGGUUCAGUGGUUACCCUAUGUGGUCACGAGGUCCGGGGUUAUAUAAGAUACUGAGCUUUUCAUCUAAGAAAUUUUGACUUAUAAUUCUCAGUCCUUAGUUGGGAAUUUAGUGGUGUUACACCCUGUGCCUCAGAGUGCAUGUUAACCUGUCCCGGACAAGGCCACGUCCCGUAAAUAAUGGAUAAAACGCAAAUGGUAGAUACGCCACCUAAUUCUACAAUUCUACGUUUUAUACUAAUUUACUACCCUCUAUAAGUGUACAAGUUUUUAAAAUAAUGGUUUUUUCGAUUCAAAAUUAGAUUUCAUCAUUUUUUACCGGACAAUGUGUUUUAAAUCGGGUCCUAAUGAAAGAAAAAUAAUUAUUACACAAAAAAUAGUCAAAUUAGUUAUAGAUAAUAAGGUGGUGUAUCUAUCAUAUUAGUCUGAUCUACAUGUGCUCUUUAGUAUAAAAAAAAAGUUCUCCAUCUCCUAUAAAAAUGGUUGAGGUGUCAUUCGAUUCGGAAUUGAAUAUACAUAGUUUUUGAAAAAUUUGAAGGCCCGCUCACUAAAAUUGCAAAAGUUAUAAAUAAUUCACUAAAAAUGAAAAAGGGGUUCAAGCAUUUUUAUAGGAGACAGAACUUUUUUUUACUAAAGAGCAGUGACCACAUUCCAUCCAGUUUAAAUGCGUUAUAUCCAUUAAUUACGCGACAUCUGUCAUAUAUUUUGUGAAGUAGUCAUAUAAUUUUGUAACUACAAUUUGGUAUUUUACUGCAUGGAAAUGUUUACAUUUUUAUUAAAGAAAUAAAUAAAAGAUUUUGCCUUUUUUUUAUCAUACAAAAGAAAAAGUCUAGUAACAAUAUAAAUAAUCGAGAUAAACGAAACCGGCAUAUCAGAAGACCGGUAACAUUUUGCGGUUAUAUGGGAUAACCACAAAUAGUACGGCAUAACCUACUUUCACAAAUCAAUUUAACUACGGAAUAAACCUACGACCCCUUCCAACCAUUUUCAAAUUACUACAAGCAUUUCCGUUUCCGCCGUGUAGGCACAUUCUACAUAUACAUAGAAUAGAAAGAGAGGGCAAAGGGAUUUUUAAUGAAGAUUUGCCUUGUAUGAGAGAGAUAAAGGAUAAAUUUAUGAAUGAAAUUUGUGGUUAUAUGAUUUUAAAAUUAUGAAUGAAAUUCAAAUUUCUCAAAUGUGCUAAGCAGUUUCUAUGAAGUAAGCUGUCUGCACGCCAGUGUGCCUUCGGCCAAAAGAUUCGUCAAUUUAACGGAUUCUCCAUCCUUUACGCACACAUUGUGGUGUUUAUGGAAAAUGCCUUUUCCAUCCCUUUUUAAUUAUCCGAUCAUUUUCGGAACCGAAGCCAGUCUAUGCUCUGUUGUGAUUGGCUGAACCUUUCUAUUAAAGUUUUAUUUUUGCCUUGUAAAAAAACAUGGCUGCAAUUAUAGUGAAAUGUAAAUAUGUUCCUUGAGUGAAACUGUGAAACCAGUGGAACUACAGGAAACUACAAAUCAAUUUAUCAAGGAUUUUAUUUCUAUUUAUUUAUUUUCUGUAUAUUAUUGUAUAGUAUUGUUAAUAAAGAGUUAUAGUUUGAUAUGUGCUAGGUUAAUUUCAGUGUUCGAUAGUAAAAGUGCAAAAGUGUUUUUGUUUUUCGUUCAAAAUGAAGCGCUGUUGCGUGCCUAAGUGUAAAACAGCUAUUAAUUUACGUGCUGUACCAUAUACUGAUGUUACUAGAUGGAAGAAGAAGGACUUGAUCAUUGGAAAUCAGCAUGCUCAAUGGGCUUUCAUUGAACGGGCUUAUGCUACUGAUGGUGCAGGAGGACGUGCCAGAACCAUAGAUUUAAACAAUAAACAUAUAAACCCAAGUUCCUACGAUAAGAUGAAGGUGACAAGCGCAAUAUAAGAGUUACAAAUGAAGUGUAACUCUCUAGCCUCUGCACCUCAACUCCACUCUCACUUUCAUGCGGUGGACCCCGUUACUUCAAGCAACUUUGUGGAAGACUAGGAGAAAUCCCAGUGGGAAACGGAGUCGACAAACAGACGAGAGUACAGGAGGGAUUACUGGCGCAAAUAUUUUGGUCCAAUAAUCUGGUGAUCUUAAAGCGAGGGAAGAAUCACGUCAAUUAUUAUGCUUCGGACGUCUUCAGUUGCAGAGGUACACUGUACACUGCUUUUUACUUGGGAAAAUGAAGUCAUACGAAGAUCUUAGUUAUAGUGUUCCACAAUUAUGUUAACAUAACUCUCUUACAUACUUAUAACAUAAGCCUCUCUGGUUCAGUGGUUACCCUAUGUGGUCACGAGGUCCGGGGUUAUAUACUAUACUACUGAUACUGAGCUUUUCAUCUAAGAAAUUUUGACUUAUAAUUCUCAGUCCUUAGUUGGGAAUUUAGUGGUGUUACACCCUGUGCCUCAGAGUGCAUGUUAACCUGUCCCGGACAAGGCCACGUCCCGUAAAUAAUGGAUAAAACGCAAAUGGUAGAUACGCCACCUAAUUCUACAAUUCUACGUUUUAUACUAAUUUACUACCCUCUAUAAGUGUACAAGUUUUUAAAAUAAUGGUUUUUUCGAUUCAAAAUUAGAUUUCAUCAUUUUUUACCGGACAAUGUGUUUUAAAUCGGGUCCUAAUGAAAGAAAAAUAAUUAUUACACAAAAAAUAGUCAAAUUAGUUAUAGAUAAUUAGGUGGUGUAUCUAUCAUAUUAGUCUGAUCUACAUGUGCUCUUUAGUAUAAAAAAAAAGUUCUCCAUCUCCUAUAAAAAUGGUUGAGGUGUCAUUCGAUUCGGAAUUGAUUAUACAUAGUUUUUGAAAAAUUUGAAGGCCCGCUCACUAAAAUUGCAAAAGUUAUAAAUAAUUCACUAAAAAUGAAAAAGGGGUUCAAGCAUUUUUAUAGGAGACAGAACUUUUUUUUACUAAAGAGCAGUGACCACAUUCCAUCCAGUUUAAAUGCGUUAUAUCCAUUAAUUACGCGACAUCUGUCAUAUAUUUUGUGAAGUAGUCAUAUAAUUUUGUAACUGUACAAUUUGGUAUUUUACUGCAUGGAAAUGUUUACAUUUUUAUUAAAGAAAUAAAUAAAAGA